rnacentral:lncRNA from 1 species
GGGGCCAGCCAGACCAGAGAACAGAGAAGGGUGCUUCCUGGCUCCUUCCACAUCAUAGUCCUUACCAUACAAGCCCCAUUGUGACUUCAUGGCCUCCACUGAGCCUCCUUCACUGGACCUGCUACUGUUGAGCCAAGUCCUUGGUUUCUAUUACCUGCUCAACUCCUUCUGUGCAUAGCUCCUGACUGCCGAGCUGGGAAGAACUCCAGUCCUUUCCUAGGCUAGGGAUUUUAACAACGGAACAAAAUCCCAGGAGAUGUCCCUGAGGAACCCUGGUAUCUGAGAAAUCCUACCUGGAAACUUCUGGCCUAUGAAAUCCAAACAGCCAAUCAAGGUGCUCAUUUGCUUCAAGAUCAUGGUCUCCGGAGAGGCAAAUUGCCAUGUACAGUUCCAUCUGGUAUCUCUGCUGGGCUGCUCACCUGGUCCACCCUUCAAGAUGGCAUUGGUCUAAACUUCCCACCAAACUAUCUAGUCUCACUCAGCUACUCGUACUCCCAGUCAGCCUAGUCCCAAGGGACCAUGAAGGGACCAUGCCUUCCUCUUGACCCUAAUGUCCCUUGUAUUUGUCAGACACCCUCCCAGAGGGCAGGGAACAGACUCUGGGGAGCCCUGAAACCAGAGAAACCCAGGACAAGCUAUUUCCAACUCAGAAUGUUCUGGCCACCCACCCAGGCUUUGUCUGAUUUCUGAUGUUCUUUAGAAUCUUCUCAUUACAUCACUAAGAAAAGCAUGAUUAAGUCCAUACACACACACACACACACACACGCACACACACAUACAUAUAAAAGAUAAAUGUGUAUCUUUAAUAACUUUUAUUAUGUUUUCUGAUUACAAAAGUAAUAUAUUGCCACAAUAUUAGAAGAACUGUAUCGAAUACAGAAAAUUAUAAAAAAUAAAAAAGAUAAAGUAUAAGGCCUCCACACAGAGAUAGGC